GUGCUCGCUUCGGCAGCACAUAUACUAAAAUUGGAACGAUACAGAGAAGAUUAGCAUGGCCCCUGCGCAAGGAUGAUUUCACAUACAAGUUCAUUACAUGUUA